rnacentral:rRNA from 1 species
AGUGGCGGACGGGUGAGUAACACGUAGGUAACCUGCCCCGGAGCGGGGGAUAACAUUUGAAAACAGAUGCUAAUACCGCAUAACAACAAAAGCCACAUGGCUUUUGUUUGAAAGAUGGCUUUGGCUAUCACUCUGGGAUGGACCUGCGGUGCAUUAGCUAGUUGGUAAGGUAACGGCUUACCAAGGCGAUGAUGCAUAGCCGAGUUGAGAGACUGAUCGGCCACAAUGGAACUGAGACACGGUCCAUACUCCUACGGGAGGCAGCAGUAGGGAAUCUUCCACAAUGGGCACAAGCCUGAUGGAGCAACACCGCGUGAGUGAAGAAGGGUUUCGGCUCGUAAAGCUCUGUUGUUGGAGAAGAACGUGCGUGAGAGUAACUGUUCACGCAGUGACGGUAUCCAACCAGAAAGUCACGGCUAACUACGUGCCAGCAGCCGCGGUAAUACGUAGGUGGCAAGCGUUAUCCGGAUUUAUUGGGCGUAAAGCGAGCGCAGGCGGUUGCUUAGGUCUGAUGUGAAAGCCUUCGGCUUAACCGAAGAAGUGCAUCGGAAACCGGGCACCUUGAGUGCAGAAGAGGACAGUGGAACUCCAUGUGUAGCGGUGGAAUGCGUAGAUAUAUGGAAGAACACCAGUGGCGAAGGCGGCUGUCUGGUCUGCAACUGACGCUGAGGCUCGAAAGCAUGGGUAGCGAACAGGAUUAGAUACCCUGGUAAUCCAUGCCGUAAACGGUGAGUGCUAGGUGU